AUAAUUAUAGUUUAUAUAAAACAUUAAAUUGCAAAUUUAAAGAAAUAAUAAAAAAUUAAUUAAU
rnacentral:tRNA from 1 species